GUUCCCGUAGUUAAAUAUAGAUAACGGCGGCUUUUCAGGCCGUAGGUCUCGGAGAAAGGCCGAGUGGGAAUU
rnacentral:tRNA from 1 species